AUUUGAAAAAUAAGUAUGCUGAACAUGCCCGAUCUCAUCUGAUCUCGGAAGUUAAGCAGUGUCAGGCCUGGUUAGUACUUAGAUGGGAGACCACCUUGGAAUACCAGGUGCUGCAGGCA
rnacentral:rRNA from 1 species